UAGAUUCCAUACGACUGGCGGAUAAGUGAGAGCACUCACAGGGAGUAUGGAGAUGUAUCGAAGCCGACCGCCUGGGCAACCAUU
rnacentral:ncRNA from 2 species